CACACCCAGGCCUGUGCGCGGUUGUGCUGGGAGCUGGAGCCCGGUGCGGGGCACUGGGGUGGGGGGUCGGGGAUACCAGGGUGGAGUGCCCCCUCCUCCUCAGUCUCCUUCCCGCUCUCCUCCUCCCCGCCUAGGGUGGGAACCCCCUCGCAGGUCCACCUGCAAGGCUCUGGCUCCAUGACCCUCAGGUCAGCCAGGUCCCCCCUGCCUGGGACUGGAAGCCCGGGGCCCGACAGGCCUUGGGACAAACUCCGCAGGGCUUUUGGUUCAUUUAUGGAAAACACAGCAUGAGGACGUGAUGAGAGUAGAGAGGUGACAUCACAGCCUUGCCCCACCAGACCUGGGUGGGUGGUGGGCACCGUCGCCUCGCCAAGCCUCCUAUUCCAAGCCUCCUAUUCCUCAGAUGGAGCCAGCGCCUGAGGAUUGAUAAUGCGUGGGAUUUCUACCCUAGUGGCCUCUAGGCCUCAAAUUGCCACCCUCUCCCUCCGCUGGAGGAGGGAAGGGGCCACCCUCCCAGGGGACAGUCCCUCCAGUCUAUGGGCUGGCUGGCGAGCAGCAGGCACGGUGGCCCUCUCGUUGGGUCCAUGCUCCUGCCCCAUCCGAGACCAGCGCCCCAGCCCUGAGCCUUCUCCAAAACCCUCAUAGUAAAAAGCAACCACUGUUAGGAAAGAAAAAUUAUAAAAGAGGGAAUAGAGAAUGCAUCCCCCCACCCAGGAAAAAAAGCAAAGGAAAGACCGGUAGAUACUAAUCAUAAUUCUAGAUUUUGGUCAUUGGCUAGUAAAGAAAAGAAAAAUGGUUAUUAUUUUAAAUGAACUAACCCCAAAAUAAGGGCAGAAGGCUCCUAGAAACAGUCUGCUUCAACCCCAGCGAUGUUAUUGUUGGUCUUGCCUGUAUUGUUUAGACUUGAUUUCUUCCUCUUUUCCACUUACUUAAAAACCCAACUCUGGUUCCAAAGUAAGACAAAUGCCAACAUCGUGAGUCUCACUCACCCAUCUCGACUUGGCGUCAAGCAGAAUCUUGACCGAGUUGCAGAACAGUUGGUGAGGUGAAAUGUUGGCUAGCCUUUUCCAACCAUGGACUUGAAAUGUUACUGUUUUAUCGCUCCACGAGUAGGGAUUAAAAGCUUUAUGCCAGAGAAGAUGGAAUAAACAUGGGACUCAAGUUCAUUUUUAUUUAUGUUAUUAUCAACAGACCAAGGAAAUCUUUCUAACAUUCCCCCCACACACACCUUUUUUCUUCUUUUUUUGACAUACAGCCUCAACCAUCCAGAUGUAGGAGAUGGGCCAAAUACAUUAUCUGAAGUCAUCUGGGUGCUGUAAGUCUACAGAUGUGUCUAAUUUGGAAGCUAUUGAUAGAAGUUUUCUGUUUAAAAAAACAAAUCUCAUCUUGAAACUCUUUAAGCCUGGAAAGAGAAACAUUCAGUGGGGAAAGACAUUUUUCUUGAACUAAGUUCAACUAAGUUUAAUCAUUUAAAGGAAAACAUGUUUUACUUCUGCCCAAGUAGAGUCUAGUCAUGUGACUCAGUUUAACUAUAUUCAGAACUCCCUGUGUUCACCUCCCAGGGCAAUUGAUGUUUCUGACCACUCUAGAUCCCAAUCUUUUUCCCCAGACUUGUCUAGCUUGCUUGGCUCCAAUGACAGUAAAGCCAAAGACUGUUCUUGCCACUCUGAGAAUCCGUUUAAGAAUCCAGCUUUGGAGACCUGGCUUCCAACAAAUAUGCUAAAAACCCAGAUUGAUUUUAUUAGUAGUUUCCCAUAGUAAGCAAACAACCUAAGUUUUCCUACAUGACUAAUGCCUCCUAAGAUCAUCUCUAGAAAUAAACAAGACUCUCUCUGUCCCAAGGGGUUAACAAAAUCCCAGGAAUAUUGGGACAUAGGAAAUGAGGCCUAAUCCCUCUUACGGAGGCAUCUUGGCAACCUUACCUCUCCAGCGAAAGGACUUCUUUAUGCAGUGACCCUGGUGGUAGCUGUGAGGGGGAUGGAGGAUGAGAUCCAGCUGGGGAGCCGUCUGCUUAACUCCUGGAAAGUAAUAACUUCCUUGCAGUGAGCAAAUUAAACUUUGGGAGAGAAUUGUAGUUGUUGAUACUUUCAGCAGGACAUGUGUCCUGAGUGAUGUUUUCCUUGGCAACAGGACUAGCCUGACAUCUGGAGAUGAAGCAGGUACUCUACUUACCACAACCCAAGGACCACCCCCCCUUUUUUUCCACCCCCCUUUUUAAGCCCUACUCGAGUGCCCUACUUCAGGGACUCUACAGAUCUACUAUCUCUGCUCAGGACCUCUAUAAUCAUCCACCAUUCCUGACAUCGCCAGGGAUUGUGUGAGGCGAGAUACACUGUGCAGGUUCUGGUUAUUAUGAAUAUACAGAAAGAUCAUAUUUAUAUUCAGGUGAAAAAUGAAACAGCAUUUGAAACACAGGCAAGCCAUGUUUCUAUUUUUAAUGCUGAAUCAGUAACUUGAGAGAGCCACGAUGCUAUCAAUUAUUGCUGAUACCUUUGGAUGGCAGCGAUGUCAUAGAAUUACUAUUGUCUUCUUGCAGAGUGUCCACGCUUUUGCAUUUGGUUUCAUGGCUUCACCGCUGAGCGGGUGGAGAGAAGUGUAAGGAAGAGUUGAUGCUAUUCAUUAAGGAUAACCAAUGAAUUACAGAACUCUUUUGCAGUAUUUAGUUGGAAAUAAGAAAUCUUUAAAUCCUCAGAGUUGGCACAUUUUCAUCAUGAGAAGAGGGUGUCCAGAUGAAACAGGAAGAGAAAUUGCAGCCCGUGAUGUCAGAGGCUGAAGAGGAGAUAGGAGUCAGUCUUCCAACAGUGAGGCUCGGGGACUUGGGCAGCACGUAUGAAUGAAAGUGGGAGCAAGAAGUAGGGGUACAAACCAGAAGAUUGAUGGAAGGUCUUCAUACUGACAGUGCAUCAUCCUUUACCUCACCCAGCUCACGGGUAAGGAAAAAGGAUGGGGUCACUGGUGCAGAGCUCUGCUGCUGUGCAAAAAAGACACUUCCUGGUGAGGUUUUACCUGGAGUGGGGAGCUCUGGUUGUGGGGUGUUCACAAGGGGCAGGAAGCAGGCCAUCUGGAGUUGGGCUAUGCUAGGUUCAGGCGCCCACACCGGGCCCAGUGAGCUAUGGUGCCGUAGCCUGUGUGGCUGGGGCUGUGGACAGGGCGAGCAGCACGACUGUCCAGUACAGCAUCCGUGCUUGCUGGUCUCAGGGGACCUGUUCCCUUCUCCCUUGUAGGUCCAUUGCACAGACAGCCAGAGCCUGACUCACUGUCCCACACACACAACUUGGAGUUGGAGACCUAGAGGCUGCUCAAAGCUUACUUAGACUCUAGGCUUUGUGAGAGUUCUGUUUCAUCCUGUGAAAGUUGUGUAGCAGGAGGGGAGAAGGGAGGAGGGAGAGGGCAGUGGCAGGAGGGGGCAAUGAAGCCAGGGCGAACAUGGCCUUAACACGUUUUGAUUAUGGAAGUUAACCUUUGCGAUACCACUGGCCAAAGAGCAUGCAUCAUGGCUCCUGAGGGGCUCAGUGGUUGAGCGUCUGCCUUGGGCUCAGGUUGUGAUCCCGGGGUCUUGGGAUCAAGUCCCACAUUGGGCUCCCAGUAGGGAGCCUGUUUCUCUCGGUCUGCAUUUCUACCUCUCUCGCUCUCUCUGUCUCUCUCUCUCUGUCUCUCAUGAAUAAAUAAACAAAAUAUUAAAAAAAAAAAAGACCAUGCAUCAAACACGAAACAUCCAACUUUAAGCCCGAACAACCCCACCGUGAAGGGCAACUGCAACGUGAGACCACCCUGUUCUGGUAGCUUUUGCACAGAACCAGUGCAUGGUCCCAGAGAGCUGGGGAGAUGCUUACUACAUUCCAACUUCUUCUGGAAGACCUGAGAAUUCCCCAGUGAAUUGAUCAGCUAAAGGAACAGAGGACUCCUAUUAAAGGUCAGGUUAAAUAUUAAGUUUGUUGGCCCUUUCGUUCAUAGUGUUUUAAUUUGUUUAGCGGCCUUGAGUCUCAGCCUGCUCAUUCGGAUGGAUGCCUGGGAAUUGUUUGUACAGGUCCUCCUGCCGGGAAGGACCACCUGGCCUGUGGAAUGCAAUCAACCACCACCCAGGGAGGACACCUGGCACUUUCUGGUCCCUUUAGAGACGUUGGCUCCUUAAAGGAGCCCUUCAGCAACCUCAUAAGGUAGAUACCAUUUUAUGGAUGGCAAAGCUGAGGCUCAGAGGAGCAGCAGAAGCCAAUAAGAUCAGAGCACCAGCUAUUCUCAAAGCAAACUUUGGUUGCUGUGGUAACUGGGCCAUCAGAUGCUUCCUGACUUAAAUAGUGCCAGCAACUGCGCCCUGGUCUUAUCUCUACAACCCAGCGCUGGGCAAUCUCUAUACCCAACAUGCGCCCCGAACUCACAACUCCAAGAUCAAGAGCCAUACACCCCCUCCACCAACUGAGCCAGCCAGGUGCCCCCCGAGCUGUGUUGAUCAGAUGUGGCCAGGGUGUCCAAGGAUUGGCAGUCCCCAAGGCCAAGAGCUGCAGCGAGCCGGGGACCAGGGCGGUGGGCCAGGCCAGGGAAAGAGUCCUGUGUUGGCUGCUCCCCUUGUGGUGCUGGCUGCCUGGGCCCGUGGCCGGAGCUCCAGGUGCCACUCGCCCCAGACCGGUGCCCAGACCUGGUGCCCAACAGGAAAGAAGAGAGGUGCCAGGCGGUUAACAAGAAGACGGAGAAACUGUCUCAGGUUAGACAGUGAGGAGAGGUGGCAGGGAUCCUGUGUCACAAAAAAUGACGAGCUCCUGAGAAAAUUUGGUAACAGAACUGAGAACAUAUAACCGGCUCCAACCUGGUACCAGUUCAGUGGACAUUUCUGGAGGACCAGCCACAUGCCGGCCACUGUCCCCGUGACAGGCAAGCUGAGGCCUGGAGAGGAUAUAAAUAACUUGCCAAGAGUCACACAGCUGCUCCUGUCCAAAAUCCCGCUCCGUUUGAGUUCAGCAGGACUGUAUCGAUCACCAAUGGUUGGAAUAAAAAUGUCUCCUUUGCAA